UACAGGGGGUGCAAACGUUGCUCGGAAUUAUUGGGCGUAAAGCGCGCGUAGGCGGCCACUUAAGUCGGAUGUGAAAGCCCCUGGCUCAACUGGGGAAGUGCACCCGAAACUGGGUAGCUAGAGUGCGAAAGAGGGUCGCGGAAUUCCCGGUGUAGAGGUGAAAUUCGUAGAUAUCGGGAGGAACACCGGUGGCGAAGGCGGCGACCUGGGUCGACACUGACGCUGAGGCGCGAAAGCGUGGGGAGCAAACAGG
rnacentral:rRNA from 1 species